UGCAAUCAACAGUUUUCAGACAUUGGACAUUGGUUUAAGACGAUAAUCCCUGAGAGCUGGGAAACAAACAAUGUGAGCCCUGUGACAGCUCCAGCUGACGGCCUGGACAGUGUCCAGCCUGCGGCACGGGGAGGAGGGACCCAGACAGAGCCGGGGGCUUCUUGAGUUGAGGAGCUGGAACUGGAGUUUGAGGGAGCUGAGGCAGCUGGAGUCCACAGGUGGCCGGACCGCGACGGGUAGAGCCUGACUCAGUAGGGCCUUUCGGGAAAGAAAACGAAACAGCAGCAACUGGAGACGGGGAGGUCACCUCCACGAAGGAAGGUUGUCGCCUCCACUUCCAGAUCUGCUCCCCAAGAUGGUUUGGCUCGAUGGCAGCAUGAUGAGGAGGUCAGGGCUGUCGCUGUGUGGCCUCAGCUCUGAAAAGUGAAGCCAAGAGAAGCAGAGACAGUUUCCUCAGGCCAUCCAGUGGGCUUCUGCCUCCAGCCUCCCCCAGGCCUCCUCCUGGGAUAUAGGAAGCAUCGUGUGAGAGGCAGACAGGAUAAUGUCUGUGAAAAUGGACCUCUGAAAAAUCUCUCCUCUGUGAAAAUGAGCAAGCAGGCAAAAAUUAGCAGGACCAACUUUUUGUGAACUCUGGAAGUUGACCAAAAGCUUGCAACAAUUCUAGGAAAAUUUAUUCAAGAAAAAUGGCUGGACCUUGAUAAGAAGAACAAACUCUGUAUUAUUUUAACUUACCCUAUUCCCAUCCCCUUUUCUCUGGCUCUGUGGUUGCCUUGUGGUCCAGUAAUCAUACUCCUUGGUAUUUACCCAAAGGAGUUGAAAAUUUAUGUCUGUCGGAACUCACAUUCAUGAUGAAGGUCAGAAGUGGGGUGAGAGCAUCCCCCCAAUGUGUCAGGAACAAGACAAGGAUGCCCAUUUUCUCCACAUCUAUGCAACAUUGUAGUGGAGGUUUUAGGCAGGGAGAUGAAACAAGAAAUAGAAAUGAAGUCAUUCACAUUGUAAAGGAAGAAGUAAACCUAUAUUUACAAAUG